rnacentral:rRNA from 1 species
GCGCAGCAGGCGCGAAAACUUUACAAUGUGCGAAAGCACGAUAAGGGAACUCUGAGUGCCUCCUAAGGAGGCUGUUCAGGUGUCUAAAAGCACCUGAAGGAAGGGCUGGGUAAGACCGGUGCCAGCCGCCGCGGUAACACCGGCAGCCCAAGUGGUAGCCACGUUUAUUGGGUCUAAAGCGUCCGUAGCCGGCUGGGUAAGUUCCUUGGGAAAUUUGGCUGCUUAACAGUCAAGCUUUCAGGGAAUACUGCCCGGCCUGGGGACCGGGAGACGGUCAGAGGGUACUCCAGGGGUAGGGUGAAAUCCAUUAAUCCUUGGGGGACCACCGGUAGCGAAGGCGUCUGACCAGACCGGGUCCGACGGUGAGGGACGAAGGCUAGGGGCGCGAACCGGAUUAGGAUACCCCUGUAGU